AAAGACUAUAUGUCACUUCACAACAUCAGCAUGUUGCAGUUGAUGGCUAGUAUUUUGGGGAUUCAAAUCUGGAAUAUUGUUGCAUCCUGGUAAUGUUUAGUUUGGUAUAUGUAUCUAGGGAGAUGAAAACCUUUGCAGAAUACAAAAACUAAGCCUCAGUCCCACACAAGUUGGGGUCGCAUAAACGGUGUCACAGGGUAUAU
rnacentral:misc_RNA from 1 species